CAGCAGCCGCGGUAAUACCAGCCCCGCGAGUGGUCGGGACGGUUAUUGGGCCUAAAGCGCCCGUAGCCGGCCCGGCAAGUCCCUCCUUAAAGCCUCGGGCCCAACCCGAGGACGGGGGGGAUACUGCCGGGCUAGGGGGCGGGAGAGGCCGGCGGUACUCCCGGGGUAGGGGCGAAAUCCGUUAAUCCCGGGAGGACCACCAGUGGCGAAGGCGGCCGGCUGGAACGCGCCCGACGGUGAGGGGCGAAAGCCGGGGGAGCGAACCGGAUUAGAUACCCGGGUAGUCCCGGCGGUAAACGAUGCGGGCUAGCUGUUGGGCGGGCUUAGAGCCCGCCCAGUGGCGCAGGGAAGCCGUUAAGUCCGCCGCCUGGGGAGUACGGCCGCAAGGCUGAAACUUAAAGGAAUUGGCGGG
rnacentral:rRNA from 1 species